UUACGAUGACAGAUCGGUUUG
rnacentral:piRNA from 1 species